UUUCCGUAGGUGAACCUGCGGAAGGAUCAUUAUUGUAUAACCGAGGUGCGAGGGCUGUCGCUGACCCGAAAGGUCGUGCACGCCCGAGUGCCCUCACACAUCCAUCUCACCCCUAUGUGCACCACCGCGUGGGUCCCCCUUUGGCUUGUUCGGAGGGGGGCUUACGUUUUCACACAAACUUUGUAUGCAGUGUAGAAUGUAUUUUUUGUUCUUGCGAUCACGCAAUCAAUACAACUUUCAACAACGGAUCUCUUGGCUCUC
rnacentral:misc_RNA from 1 species